rnacentral:lncRNA from 1 species
AAUAGAUGCACUUGCCUGCGCCAUGUGAAGGCAAAAAGGCAAAAUCUUUGUUGUUGUUGUUCUUUCUCAAGCUUCCUUCUACCCAUGCUGCUGAAGGAAGGUAUGGUGUGCCCAAGGUGAGUCUUCCCACGUCAAUUCAACUGAUGUGUCCAGUGGCUUCUCUGAUGGUCAGUUCUAGAUCCAGUCAAGUUGACAACAUUGAACAUUAUGGCCACCCACAGAGAAGAUAAGGACCCAGUAUGUAGUAAAAACAAACAAGACACAUCUUAUAAUUCAAGGAGAAGAAAAUGGGUGACCCACAGAGAAACUUGGUAGGGAAGAAAGCUACAUGACUGCUGGACACCUCAAGGCUGUGAAGGGAAGACCAGGAGACAGACUGAAAACAGAUUACGGUUCAGAUUUCUUCCCUGAGGAACAUUCAUUCCAGUCGCUUUCUCUACCAAUGAGAGACUCCAACUCCUCUCCCUUGGAAUAUGACUGAUUGCCCCAUUCCACAGGAGUCAAACUCUAGAACAUUCCCACCUGAAGACCUGUGACUCCUGUUGCUACCAGAUUCUAUCCUAUUAAUUAAUUAAUCAAUUAAUUAAGCUGGGAAUUGAACUUGGGGCCUUACAUGUGCUAGGCAAACACUCUACCACAGAGGCAUACUCCCACCCUCCUCCUAAUUAUCCCAAGCCCAGCCAUGUGGCUUGUGUUUGGAUUUCUACUCAUCAUUGCUGUGUGCAGCAAGGACUCAAGAGACAAAGCAGGAACACACUGGUUUGCCCAGGACCCUCUCCCAAUCUGAUGGUUCUCUUCCUUCUAGUAAGUGCACACACUUUUAUUUCAGAGAGCUCUAAGUGUAGCCUUGAUGCUGGCCUAAGACUGUCACUUUCAUCUUCCAAAGAGAAUCUCUGCAUCUACCAUGGAGACUUCUGCCCUGGAAAGGAGCAGGAGUGUGGGAGGAGACGUCAGCUGCAAAGACAUCGUCUACAUUGUAAGGAGGCGCUGGGACAGAUGAGGCCAGAGGUGGGCAGCUAUUACAGUUCGGAUUUGAAAUAUCCUAGAACGCUCACAUGUUGAAGGUUGGUUCAGUUGUCUGUGCAACUAGGAGGUGGGAACCUAGAUAGAAGAAGGAAGUCAUGGAGGGGAGGAGGAGGGAACUGGGAUUGACAUGUAAAACAAUCUUGUUUCUAAUAAAUAAAAAUAUGGAGACAAAACAAUAAAAACAAC